AGUUUGAUUAUGGCCUGAUUGAACGCUGGCGGGAUGCUUUUUACACAUGCAAGUCGAACGGCAGCACGGACUUCGGUCUGGUGGCGAGUGGCGAACGGGUGAGAAUGUAUCGGAACGUGCCUAGUAGCGGGGGAUAACUACGCGAAAGCGUAGCUAAUACCGCAUACGCCCUUCGGGGGAAAGCGGGGACCUUCGGGCCUCGCACUUAUUAGAGCGGCCGAUAUCGGAUUAGCGGCUGGUGGGGUAACGGCUCACCAAGGCGACGAUCCGUAGCUGGUUUGAGAGGACGACCAGCCACACUGGGACUGAGACACGGCCCAGACUCCCGCCGGAGGCAGCAGGGGAAUUUUGGACAAUGGGGAAACCCCGAUCCAGCCAUCCCGCGUGUGCGAUGAAGGCCUUCGGAUUGUGUAAAAGCACUUUUGGCAGGAAAGAAACGGCACGGAUAAUACCCCGUGCAACUGACGGUACCUGCAGAAUAAGCACCGGCUAACUACGUGCCAGCAGCCGCGGUAAUACGUAGGGUGCAAGCGUUGUCUGAAUUACUGGGCGUAAAGCGUGCGCAGGCGGUUCGGAAAGAAAGAUGUGAAAUCCCAGAGCUUAACUUUGGAACUGCAUUUUUAACUACCGAGCUAGAGGUCAGAGUGGAGGUGGAAUUCCGCGUGUAGCAGUGAAAUGCGUAGAUAUGCGGAGGAACACCGAUGGCGAAGGCAGCCUCCUGGGAUAACACUGACGCUCAUGCACGAAAGCGUGGUGAGCAAACAGGAUUAGAGUAAUUCUGGUAGGCCCACGCCCUAAACGAUGUCAACUAGCUGUUGGGGCCUUCGGGCCUUGCAGCGCAGCUAACGCGUGAAGUUGACCGCCUGGGGAGUACGGUCGCAAGAUUAAAACUCAAAGGAAUUGACGGGGACCGCACAAGCGGUGGAUGAUGUGGAUUAAUUCGAUGCAACGCGAAAAAACCUUACCUACCCUUGACAUGUCUGGAAUCCCGAAGAGAUUUGGGAGUAAGUUUCGCAAGAACCGGAACACAGGUGCUGCAUGGCUGUCGUCAGCUCGUGUCGUGAGAUGUUGGGUUAAGUCCCGCAACGAGCGCAACCCUUUGUCAUUAGUUGCUACGAAAGGGCAUCAACGAGAUCACGGUGACAAACCGGAGGAAGGUGGGGAUGACGUCAAGUCCUCAUGGCCCUGGCGGUAGGGCUUCACACGUCACACAAUGGUCGGGACAGAGGGUCGCCAACCCGCGAGGGGGAGCCAAUCCCAGAAACCCGAUCGUAGUCCGAUCGCAGUCUGCAACUCGACUGCGUGAAGUCGGAAUCGCUAGUAAUCGCGGAUCAGCAUGUCGCAGAAUACGUUCCCGGCUUGUACACACCGCCCGUCACACAUGGGAGUGGGUUUUACCAGAAGUAGUUAGCCUAACGUAAGGAGGGCGAUUACCACGGUAGGAUUCAUGACUGGGGUGAAGUCGUAACAAGGUAG
rnacentral:rRNA from 1 species